AAACGUGCCAAAGUUAUUUAGUUCUAAAAAAAAAAAACUUGCAUGACUGAGGAGGCUCCUGCGGUGGUGGAGCGGUGCGGGAGGGUGACAGUUGUCAUAAGUUGACGAAUCACUGAGUUCUUGCGUCACGUCAUCACACCUCUUCCGCACCG